rnacentral:lncRNA from 1 species
AGCCAUUUUCCUGAUUGAUUGACUGAGAAGGGUAUUCCGCCCUAUUGGUCUUUGGGAUUAUGGUCGCAGCAGACGAAGGCUCACCACAGUGACAGAAAGUUUCAUCGAAGUCGAUCCAGAAAUCACACUUCUGAGAAUCCACUGAGGGCACACCGCCCUGUAGACACUUGUCUUCGGAGAUGCCCAUCUAAGGCUGUCAGGUUCAGAUUUAGCACACAAAAUGCACCCAUAUUCCUAAGCAUCCGAAGAAGGUACCUCAUCCUAGGGGUUCUCGGGACUAUGGGGCAAGCAGACGAGGGAGUAAUUCAAGAAUAUAUUCACCCGAGAACACAAAAAAGGCACUCUGCCUUGAGUGUUCUCGCCAACAGCGAAGGACUCGUCACCAAAGCAGAUCUAUAGGCCGCAUUCCUGGAAAUCCAAACACUUGGGUAAAUAUUUCCAAGGUCGGUUGACAUUGUGGUCCAAAGCUGAUAAUAGUUAAAGAGAAGCUGAGGAGUCCGACAAAGCCGUUGCAGUUCUUCGGCAGAAGCAGAGUUCGUGGGUAUUGCAUGCAGAUGGAUAUUCUAUUUCGGACAUCAGUAUAGCAGGCUAUCAAGGAGUCGAUCACAAUAACAAUUCCACCGCCGGUGCAUUAUCGAAGCUGGCCACUACAGAUGCCUAUAACUUUGAUGGCAGAUGGCGUCUUUCCUUCAGAUCAGAUGCUGGCAAAGAAGACCAAGUACAAGAGUUUCCAUUUUGUUCUCAUUGAUGAUAAUCUUUAUCGAAGGACCUUUUUCGUCAUCAUUACUUAAACAUUUGGUUCCAUCCGAAGCAGGGUGUGUUCUUCGGGAAGUUCACAAAGAUAUUCGUGACAAUUAUUUGGCCUGAAGUUGUUGACCUAUAAAGCACUUCGGCAGCGAUAUUCUUGAAAGAACUGGGGAUUCAGCACAGAAAGACUUCGGGUAUUCUACUUUGGACCUAUCUCCC